rnacentral:rRNA from 1 species
CGUAGGAGGCAAGCGUUAUCCGGAGUUACUGGGCGUAAAGCGCGUGUAGGUGGGUUGGUAAGUUACUUAUGAAAGCUCCUGGCUAAACUAGGAGAGGUUGAGUGAUACUGCCAGUCUUGAAUAGAGGAGAGGUUGACGGAAUUCCGCGUGUAGUGGUGAAAUGCGUAGAGAUGCGGAAGAACACCAGUGGCGAAGGCGGUCAACUGGCCUCAUAUUGACACUCAGACGCGAAGGCAUGGGUAGCGAACGGGAUUAGAAACCCCGGUAGUCCAUGCAAUAAACGAUGCACACUGGAUGUUCGUUGUCCUACGGGGCAGUGAGUAUCGAAGCAAACGCGUUAAGUGUGCCGCCUGGGGAGUACGGUCGCAAGGCUA